GAUCUCUAAAAGGUCAUGCUUUUCUAAAAGGGCUGGAGGAAACCAUGAAUGCCCAAUCCUUCUGCCCUACCAUUUAUUAACAAUGUGAUUUUAUAACAUUCUUAUACAGAUGGAAGCCCACUUGAGUUCAAUAGAAUUUGCACCCAAGUAAGAGGGAAGAAAAUUACAGCCUUGAUGGAGAAUAAAUUCAUUUGGACCCAGUAGGAAUAGAUUCAAAGGUUAUGGGAAUUGGGCUAUCAUUUUUGCUGGACUAGACUGAUAGGUUUACAAAUUAGCAGCUCUGUUCUGUAGCCCCCACCCACCCGCUUUAAUCCUGUUAAUCUCGAGGGGAGAUCAUGUAGGGAGCCUUCAAUGUUGUGACCUAAAUUGAAUGAAAUAUUUAAUGCUCCUGAGAGGCAGACACACAUAUUUAAAACACAUGGGUGGGGUUUCAGUGAGAAAAGAAAUGAAAAACGGGAAGGGAGCUCAGCAAAGGAGCCAUGUACAAACCAGGAGAAAGGCAUCAAUGCAAAGGAACUCAAAGCAAAGUGGUACCAAGAACAGUGUAAUUGGAAAAAUGAAAACAGACAGCUUGGGAAUAACAAGGGAGAAAGAGGAGAGAGGAGAAGGAGGAAAAUCCCCCCACCAACAUCAUGUUAGAGCUUGCAGGCCAGCACAGAAACGAAAUGGAUCCAUUGCAUCAAGGCAGGUGACAGGAAAAUUGCAGAAUUGGGAGCUAUAGAUGGAUUUUACCUGUUAAUAGCUAGGGACGGACAAAUCAUGGUGGGGGAGGCAAACAAUAUAGUGGGGUGCACAGCACAUGGUGAUGGUCCAGCUAAAAUUCCAGUUUGCUUGCCAUAUGUGAUAAAAUCCUAUAUAAACACACUGUUGAAAAGCAAGUGCAAUUUAGUGCUCAGAGUGUUGGAUUGGGAUUAGGGAGUGGCAUAUUCAAGUCCCCAUUCAUCCACAAAAUUUUCUGCCAGACUCCCCAUCUCAGCUUAACCUAACCCCAUGGUGUUGUUAUGUAGAUAAAGCAGAUAAUGUGUUUACCAGGUUGAAAGAUGAGAUAUAAAACAAACAACCAAUAAUAAAUAUAAGUAAUAAAUAUAGCCCAGAGAUAAUAAAUGAGGACAGCAUAGAAUUCCUUGUUGAAACGAGAACGAAAAAAAUCAUGGAUUGAAAUCUCCACUGAAUGCUAAAUAGCUCACAUAAUUUUUGUAUGUCAAGAAACUGGCUUCAGACAUAAAUCACCGCUGCUGGUACUGCCUACAUUUCUUGCUUUUUGAUUUCACAAAAUCCUUUGCUGGCCAAUCUGGCUCCAGUUUUAUACUUUAGACCUAAGGUUGUUAAUACAUAGAUACAUAAAUUCCUGUUCAUAUAUGUGUGUGAGAGAGAUUAGCAGAACAAUUAAAGCAACUGGCUACAGCAGCCUCUGGGUUUCACACAUACUUUGCCAAACAGACGGGCUUUGCAUGAAUGUCUUCUAGUUCACUUGCCAAAAUGAUCCCUUU